UACGGAGGAUGCGAGCGUUAUCCGGAUUUAUUGGGUUUAAAGGGUGCGUAGGCGGUCCGUUAAGUCAGCGGUAAAAUUGCGGGGCUCAACCUCGUCGAGCCGUUGAAACUGGGUGCCUUGAGUGGGCGAGAAGUACGCGGAAUGCGUGGUGUAGCGGUGAAAUGCAUAGAUAUCACGCAGAACUCCGAUUGCGAAGGCAGCGUACCGGCGCCCAACUGACGCUGAAGCACGAAGGCGUGGGUAUCGAACAGG
rnacentral:rRNA from 1 species